CGUAGGGGGCAAGCGUUGUCCGGAUUUAUUGGGCGUAAAGAGCGUGCAGGCGGCUUGGUAGGUCCGCUGUGAAAACUCGAGGCUCAACCUCGAGAUGUCGGCGGAAACCACUUGGCUAGAGUCCGGAAGAGGAGAGUGGAAUUCCCGGUGUAGCGGUGAAAUGCGCAGAUAUCGGGAAGAACACCUAUGGCGAAGGCAGCUCUCUGGGACGGUACUGACGCUGAGACGCGGAAGCGUGGGGAGCGAACAGGAUUAGAUACCCUGGUAGUCCACGCCGUAAACGAUGGGUGCUAGGUGUGGGCGGUGUCGACUCCGUCCGUGCCGAAGCUAACGCAUUAAGCACCCCGCCUGGGGAGUACGGCCGCAAGGCUA
rnacentral:rRNA from 1 species